rnacentral:tRNA from 1 species
CGGGGCGUAGCGCAGCAUGGUAGCGCACCUGCCUUGGGCGCAGGGGGUCGGAGGUUCAAGUCCUCUCGCCCCGACCA